GGAUUUUUUUUUAAGUUCUUACUGUUUUGAAAAAUAAAAGUAAUUCUGAGAAAUAGCAUUAAAAGAUUCAAUUGGUUGUUAAUUACUGAUGAAUGUUGAAUUUUUAUGGUUGAUUUUUUGUUUAUUUGCAAAUUGAUAUGAUUAUUGAAGCUGUAAAAUGUAAUUUGUGAUUGGUCACGAAUGGUAGCAAUUCGAAGAAAAACUACAUGUUCGACGUAUAUUAUUUAAAUUUUGUGUAUUUUUCUGAAGUAAGAAUAAUAUUUUAUGUAAAUAUAACAGAGUGGAAAAAAACAUUACAUCUGGGACUUAAUAUUUUGCCAAAAGUGAUUGACUGUUAAAAGGAACUUUUAAAAUCCUAAAAUCACAAAGAGGAUUUUCAAUUAAGGUUGAAUAACAUUUGCAUUUGGACAUCAAAAGAAUAUUGAGUGAUUUAAUUUUUGUUAUUAUUUACAAUAAAUGUACAAAACAAAUGACGAAUCACUUGAUACGGCUUGA